UAGACGGUACUCGGUAGGAAGGGGUAAAAUCCUUUGAUCUAUUGAUGACCACCUGUGGCGAAGGCGGUCUACCAGAACACGUCCGACGGUGAGGGAUGAAAGCUGGGGGAGCAAACCGGAUUAGAUACCCGGGUAGUCCCAGCUGUAAACUAUGCAAACUCAGUGAUGCAUUGGCUUGUGGCCAAUGCAGUGCUGCAGGGAAGCCGUUAAGUUCGCCGCCUGGGAAGUACGUACGCAAGUAUGAAACUUAAAGGAAUUGGCGGGGGAGCACCACAAGGGGUGAAGCCUGCGGUUCAAUUGGAGUCGACGCCAGAAAUCUUACCCGGAGAGACAGCAGAAUGAAGGUCAAGCUGAAGACUUUACCAAACAAGCUAAAAGGUGGUGCAUGGCCGUCGCCAGCUCGUGCCGUGAGAUGUCCUGUUAAGUCAGGUAACGAGCGAGAUCCCUGCCUCUAGUUGCCACCAUUACUCUCAGGAGUAGUGGGGCGAAUUAGCGGGACCGCCGCAGUUAAUGCGGAGGAAGGAAGGGGCCACGGCAGGUCAGUAUGCCCCGAAACUCUGGGGCCACACGCGGGCUGCAAUGGUAACGACAAUGGGUUUCGAAUCCGAAAGGAUGAGGUAAUCCUCAAACGUUACCACAGUUAUGACUGAGGGCUGCAACUCGCCCUCACGAAUAUGGAAUCCCUAGUAACUGCGUGUCAUUAUCGCGCGGUGAAUACGUCCCUGCUCCUUGCACACACCGCCCGUCGUUUCAUUGAAGUGAGCUUUUAGCGAGGUGACGUCUGAUUGGCGUUAUCGAACUUGAGGUUCGUGACAAGGGAA
rnacentral:rRNA from 1 species